GAGUUUGAUCCUGGCUCAGAUUGAACGCUGGCGGCAGGCCUUACACAUGCAAGUCGAACGGCAGCACGGGAGCUUGCUCCUGGUGGCGAGUGGCGAACGGGUGAGUAAUGCAUCGGAACGUAUCCUGGAGUGGGGGAUAACGUAGCGAAAGUUACGCUAAUACCGCAUAUUCUGUGAGCAGGAAAGCGGGGGACCUUCGGGCCUCGCGCUCUUGGAGCGGCCGAUGUCGGAUUAGCUAGUUGGUGAGGUAAAGGCUCACCAAGGCGACGAUCCGUAGCAGGUCUGAGAGGAUGAUCUGCCACACUGGAACUGAGACACGGUCCAGACUCCUACGGGAGGCAGCAGUGGGGAAUUUUGGACAAUGGGGGCAACCCUGAUCCAGCCAUGCCGCGUGAGUGAAGAAGGCC
rnacentral:rRNA from 1 species